GGGUGGCUCAGUCAGUUGAGCAUCUGACUUCAGCUCAGGUCAUGAUCUCACAGCUCGUGGGUUCAAGCCCCGCGUCCCG
rnacentral:tRNA from 1 species